UUCUACAGUCUGACCAUAGAGGUUGUGGAAUCUCCCUCACUGGAGAUAUUCAAAAACUGUCUGACGCAAUCCUGUGCCACGUGCUCUAGGAUCACUGUGCUUGAGCAGGGAGGUUGGACAAGA